rnacentral:lncRNA from 1 species
GUGGACCAUAUUAGAAAUUGAUAUUUUUUCCUCUCACUACAACAGAAUUAGGUUAUAGGGACACAUGUUUGAGACACUUUUGAGUAAGCGUCCCAUUUAUGCUAAAACUUAAAACACAUCUACUAAUACCUAAAUAUAAAGCUCAAUCCAACUAAAAAUAAAAGAUUACUCUACUCAACCCACCACACCCAGUCCAUUUGACCCGAUUACAAACAGAAAAGAAAAAAAAAAAAGAAAAAUCAAUUACCAUCUUUUCUUCUCUCUUCACUCAAUCCAUUGAAAUUCUAUAUGAAGAGGCUUUACUGUCGUCCUCCUCCGCCACCGCAACCAACGAGAUAGAGUUUCGGCGGUUGCUAAAUGCUUAAGUAAGUGUUGGUAAAUUAGCAGCACUCUUUUAGGUUAUAGCGACACUCUUUAACUGUCACUAUAUACUUAGCGACCCCACAUAUAGCAACACUUUUUAAAAGUGUCGGUAAUUUUAGCUAGCAUCAUUUUUUUGACAUAUACCUAUAUUUAAAAGUGUCGGUAUAGACCGUUUUUGUUGUAGUGCCUUUUUUUUUUUUUNUACAAAAUAAUUAUAUGAAAUAUAGUAUUAUAAUAUAAAAAAAAUAAUUUAUAAGUUGAAUAUCUAAUUUUUUCAGCCUUAUAUGUCUUUUCUUCCGCCUUCAAUCUUUAUAUUAUUCAUUUUCAUUUAUGCAGUCAAAAAUAAAUAAAUUAUAUAGAUAAAUAUUGGAUUAAACUAUCCAAUCAUAUAUAACUAAAAUUAAAAUUUUAUAUGAAUAAUAAUUUUUUACUUUAAAAAUAUUCUGUAUAUUUUCUCAAGCAUACAAUUAAUAGCAAGGUAAGCAACGGCGGGCACAUGAUUUUACUUGGUAACUUAGAGGGCUUCCGGCUUAGCCACUUAGGGUGAGAGACAGAAAAAAGGAAAGAGAGGAAUAUAUUGAAAAUUUAGAGCUCUGUGAAAGAAAGAAAGAAAGAAAGAAUGAAAGGAAAAAUAUAUAAAUUUAGUAAAAUUUUACUCUUUUAUUUGUCUAUUGGGUUUAUUUUUAUAGGCCAACAAUAUUGGCCCAAUUUUAACUGCCUUCCGUGCUUCCAGGUCGUUUUUAAUGUUGCGACUUUCGAAUUGUUGAUCGGCUCCGUUAAACUUGAUCUAGAGUAUUUGAAGUACCUAGAAAAUAAAUUUUGCAAUUUUUCGAUAUCAUUUGCCCAGUAAACUAAGGGGCUCAAAAUCAACGGCUGAAAAUAAAAAUCUUACAAAACGUGAUAAUAUGACAUUAAAAUUUUAGAUCAAAGAUAUUGAUCUUGUUUUAUAUAGUACAAAAAAUUUUCUAUCAAAAUUUCAUGUGAUUUGGAUAUUUCUACACCGUUAAACUUGCAAACGGCUCACCACGGCCAUUAAAAUUAUUGAUUUUGAGUCCUUUCGAUCACUAGGCAAAUGAUAUCGAAAAAUUAUAAAAUUUAUUUUCUAAUUACUUCAAAUACUCUAGAUCAAGUUUAACGGAGCCGAUCGACGAUUCGAA